rnacentral:rRNA from 1 species
UGGUAGUCCACGCCGUAAACGAUGAUAACUAGUUGUUCGGUCACUUGGUGACUGAGUGACGCAGCUAACGCAUUAAGUUAUCCGCCUGGGGAGUACGGUCGCAAGAUUAAAACUCAAAGGAAUUGACGGGGGCCUGCACAAGCGGUGGAGCAUGUGGCUUAAUUCGAAGCAACGCGCAGAACCUUACCAGCGUUUGACAUCCCGCGCUACCCAGAGAGAUUUGGGGUUCCCUUCGGGGACGCGGUGAUAGGUGCUGCAUGGCUGUCGUCAGCUCGUGUCGUGAGAUGUUGGGUUAAGUCCCGCAACGAGCACAACCCUCGUCCUUAGUUGCCAUCAUUCAGUUGGGCACUCUAAGGAAACCGCCGGUGAUAAGCCGGAGGAAGGUGGGGAUGACGUCAAGUCCUCAUGGCCCUUACACGCUGGGCUACACACGUGCUACAAUGGCGGUGACAGUGGGCAGCAAACUCGCGAGGGUGAGCUAAUCUCCAAAAGCCGUCUCAGUUCGGAUUGUUCUCUGCAACUCGAGAGCAUGAAGGCGGAAUCGCUAGUAAUCGCGGAUCAGCAUGCCGCGGUGAAUACGUUCCCAGGCCUUGUACACACCGCCCGUCACACCAUGGGAGUUGGUUUCACCCGAAGGCAGUGCGCUAACCGCAAGGAGGCAGCUGACCACGGUGGGAUCAGCGACUGGGGUGAAGUCGUAA